GUGGACCUGAUGGAGUGGUUAUUAGGAAUGACUUGAUAUCAUGUGGGCUCUGCCCGCACAGGUUUGAAUCCUGUUGUCCACA
rnacentral:tRNA from 1 species